UGUACCACGUGACACCAUGUCAUUUUGCCAAGGAACUGCUCCCUCAGGCGUCUGAAAGAACUGCGUGAGGUUAUCCCUCACACCCUGUGCAGCUCUGGUGGCACGGCUCUUUGACAGCUGUGGCGUAAGUGACAGAUUGGCGUCGCCAGCCACCACUCUGCGCCACUCGCCAGGCUGUACCGCUCCCCCCGAAUCUGUAUCUGUGAACCUGGGCGGUAUGUAGCGGCUAGCAGGUGUGGUCGCCUCAUCAGUGUAGGCCAGGUAGUUGUGUAGGACUACACAGGCCUUGACAACAUCCACUGCCUUGUCGGGCAGGAACUCUAUUGAUCUGCCCAGGAUCCUCCAGCGUGCCACCAUAAUUCCAAAAGUAUUCUCAAUUACCCUCCUGGCUCUGGAGAGGCGGUAAUUGAAAAUAGUCUUCUCUUUACUCAGAUUUGCCCCUGAUUAUACAAAAAAAAAAAAAGCAAGUCCUCUUCCAUCUCUAACAGCUACAGCUCCAUCAAAAUUCUUGUUCUCUCCAUCAUUAAUCUUCAGUGUGUGUGAGGAAAAGGCGGGGCGGGAGGGGUGUAAAUAAACAAUCGUCGACUUCCACACACAAAGACGUCAUGGGGCAGGCUUCUCUAAGGUUAAAAAAUGUUGCUCCACCUACUGGUCUGGCGGUGAAUUGUUUUCAGCACCCACAGACCUCGGAGUACUAUAAAUACAAAAUAGUUAAUCGAUGUCGUACGAAAACGGUCGUUUGUCUGUCCAUAUCGGAGUCGUAGUACCAUAAAUUUCGCUUAAGUCGGGUAUUGUCGGAAGAGUUCAACAUGUUCAGUCGGAUCGGGUAAAGUUGGAGAAUGUCUGACCAAUGUAGAGCCAUUUCCAACGAACUCCAACAUUUUGACAGCUCGUUACCUGGACAACUUGACUCAACUCGCGUGCAUAACAUCCUCGAGCUCUCUUUGAUUUCGAUAAAGUGUACUUGUCUACUUGUGCACUGCUCAUAAUUUUGAACUGAAAAUGGCUGGUUUCUGGACCCAAGAACGGGAGGAUAUAUUCCUGGAGCUGUGGGAAGAAAAGACCCAGCUGUAUGAUGUAAGGAGUCAGGCGUACUCGAACCGGGAUAGUAAAAAUGCAGCGAUCAAGUACAUCGCCGAAAAACUGGAGACGACUGAAAAAGCAGUUAAGGCCAAAAUGGAGACGAUGAGGACCCAAUACAGCUGAAACUUAAAGGCAAAGCCAUCGGGCAGUGAUGGAUUCAUCACGCCACGCCAGUCCUGGAUGCUGCAGAAGCUGAAGUUCCUAGAGAUCCAUAUGAGAAAAAGGCCAUCAAAAUCAAACUUGUCUCUUGAUGAUAUAUCAACUGAAGUGGACGAGGGGCUUUUGGAUGGGAUUGAGGGCGAAGACAGCUCUGCAAACGCUAUCACCAUUAGCUCUGAGGACCCUGAUGUGACACCAGUUGAUGGGGGAGAGGAGGAAACAGCUGGUUCAUCAUAUUCCCCCCCCCCCC